AGCUGGCCGGCUCGGGCUCGCGGCCGCGACGCGCGCAGUUGCUGCGGUACGCCGGGGCGGGGCUGCCGGCUGCGGCCUGUGGGCAGAGCUCGACGCCGACUCCGCCGGCGCCGGCGGGCCGGCCUCCGGGACCUCCUUCUCCAUCGUGUCCGCGGUCACCUCACAGCUCGUCUUGGACCGGAUCCUGGCGGCAUCGGUGCGUGACUUCUCCUGAUAACGCCGGAGGCUGCAUAGUGAAGAGGCUGGUACAACUUCGACUCCACGUCUGAAUCAGCUGCACACUCUUUUGUUUCAGUCAGUUCAAAGCUUCUCUGCAUUCCUAACAUUUGUCAGUACAGGUCCAAACUUGUGUUAUUUGGUAUUUGCUCUGUACCUAGUUCCUCAACCAGUGGUAGUGCAUUUGGUUCCUCUUCGUUGCAGCUUGUGUUUAGUACACUUCAGUAGAGUUUCUCCAUGGUAUUUUCAGCUGCUGAGCCUGUCCUGCCUGCCUUUGGUGUCCAUGGUCGAGCCCAGUGUGUAAGAAUUUUUGCUGUGAGAAUGUCCGGUGAUAAUGACUUCAGGGAAUACUGUCAUACUAUCAGUUGUAUUUUGCUGUAAGAAAUGUCAAGUGAUGAUGACUGGAGUGAAUACUGUCAUACUAUCUAUCUAGUCACCUUUCAUCUCCAAUUUAUCAUGCACUAGUACAUCUUGCUGAUUUUGUCCAUGUCCUAACAAUGUUGUGUGCGUUCAUGUCCUGAAGUACAGAUCGUGCUCGGGGUCUACUACUACACCACGAGAAUGGUGGGAGGCACGGACGAGCUGCAGAUUGCGAUUGGGAGUGACUGAACAGAGUUUCUGUCGAGUGACCUCCUAAUGACUUCAGUUUCAGUUUUGAGAUUCACUAUGUUUUAGUUUCUGUGAACUACAAUCAUUUUGUACUUUUUGUACACCGAAGGGUUGGAGACUGUUCAGCAACACUAAUUCCAGUGCAGUACCUUAUUUGUUGUUCGUUAGUAGCAGCUAAGUCAUAGUGUUCUUAUC